rnacentral:lncRNA from 1 species
AGUAAGUAGAUCAUAUGCAUUUAAGAUUAAGGUCAUUGAUUUAUUUUGGAAAAAAUGGAUGAAGAACUACUUUCCUACUCUAAUUGUACGCCAAAAGUGGCAUGUGAGUGUAAGAAAUGUUCGGAAGGGUGACAUUGUACUUGUUAAUGAUCAUAAUGUAUUAAGAGGAGAAUGGAAGUUAGCGGAAGUUGUAGAAGGUAUACCAGGAAGGGAUGGAAAGAUCAGAGAUGUGUUGUUGAGGUAUAAAAUUAAUGAACCAGGAAAACAGUACAGGGGCCAACAUGACAAGCAAAUGGUAAGAUCAGUACAUAGACUGGUGGUGUUGCUCCCAGUCGAUCAACAAUAGAAGUAUAGAAGCCUUUGAUUUGUGGUGGGGGGAGUGUAAUAUGAUUCUCAUCAUAUUAGAAUUAUAAUGUCAUUGUUGGCACCUUUGAAUGUGGAGCGGGCAGUGUGUGUCGCUGUCAUUGGUUGGAAAGAGGUGUAGACACGGGUUGUAUUCCAGUUACUGUAUAAUUGUUAUUGGCAUAUAUGACAAGAAUUGUAAUUAUUAUUGAGAUACAUAUAUUGUUUUCUUACUUAUUAACAAGUUUGGUAUUGGUUAGUAAUGUGUAUUUGUUUGUCAAGAGGAAGUUUUCUUUUAGGGUCUGUGUAUGUAACACGGAUAUAUAUUAUACCGCACUCAGGUUGUAGGGGUAAGGUAGGCAGAGGUACAGUUGGUGCCUGUCAGGGGUGAGUGGCGGUUGUUUGACUGAGCAUAGUUGGGGUAAUGCUGUAAUCAGACAUGUGGUGAAGUCUGCCUUGGCUGAUGAUGGGCGGUCAUUUUGCUGAAUCAAUCAAUAAAUCAAGAUACAGCAAGUCA